GACGAACGCUGGCGGCGCGCUUAAUACAUGCAAGUCGAGCGAGAACCAGGGCUUCGGCCCUGGGGACAGCGGCGAACGGGUGGGUAACACGUAGGGAACCUGCCCAUGUGCCCGGGAUAACUUCUGGAAACGGAUGCUAAAACCGGAUAGGUAGCAGACAAGCAUUUGACUGCUAUUAAAGUGGCUAAGGCCAUGAACAUGGAUGGACCUGCGGUGCAUUAGCUAGUUGGUGAGGUAACGGGCCACCAAGGCGACGAUGCAAAGCCGGCCUGAGAGGGAGGACGGCCACAGUGGGACUGGGACACGGCACAAACGCCUACGGGAGGCAGCAGUAGGGAAUUUUCGUCAAUGGGGGGAACCCUGAACGAGCAAUGCCGCGUGAGUGAGGAAGGUCUUCGGAUCGUAAAGCUCUGUUGUAAGAGAAAAACGACAUUCAUAGGGAAUGAUGAGUGAGUGAUGGUAUCUUACCAGAAAGUCACGGCUAACUACGUGCCAGCAGCCGCAGUAAAAC
rnacentral:rRNA from 1 species